GAGGGUAUAGCUCAGUGGUAGAGUGUGUGCUUAGCACGCUCAAGGUCCUGGGUUCAAUCCCCAGUAACUCCA
rnacentral:tRNA from 1 species